rnacentral:lncRNA from 1 species
CAAUAUAUAAUGGCAACCCAGUAGAACUGAAAGUAGAACUAUAGGUGUAGUUAUCGUGUGAUUCAGUUCUUCUAUCGAGAGUCCCAAUAGGAUACAGGUCAUGAAAACUCAUCAAACCCUAAGCAUCCAUCAUAUGCAAGACUUAAUUAGCUUGAGUCCAAUCAUGAAUCUCAUGAGAACUUCUUUUCAUUAUCAUGCAGUUGUGGCUAUGGACUUAAGGACUUAGCCUCUUAGGUCGCAUAGGACUACUCUUUAACUACUAAGGCCAUU